AUUGAACGCUGGCGGCAGGCCUAACACAUGCAAGUCGGGCGAGUGGCGGACGGGUGAGUAAUGUAUGGGAAUCUGCCUGAUGGCGGGGGAUAACUACGGGAAACGGUAGCUAAUACCGCGUACCAUAGGAUGAGCCCAUUUGGGAUUAGCUAGUUGGUGAGGUAAAGGCUAACCAAGCCGACGAUCCCUAGCUGGUCUGAGAGGAUGAUCAGCCACACUGGGACUGAGACACGGCCCAGACUCCUACGGGAGGCAGCAGUGGGGAAUAUUGCGCAAUGGGGGCAAGCCUGACGCAGCCAUGCCGCGUGAAUGAAGAAGGCCUUCGGGUUGUAAAGUUCUUUCAGUAGCGAGGCGUUACCUACAGAAGAAGCACCGGCUAACUCCGUGCCAGCAGCCGCGGUAAUAC
rnacentral:rRNA from 1 species